GUUGACCAUGCUUUCACCAUGCGUGUUCACAGGGGAAGGACCUGCGUUCCACCGGUCAUCUGAAGUCAUUCUAAUUCUCCGGUUGGAAUGUCAUUCAAGAUAUAUGUAAACAACAUUCUAAAGAUUGAUUCAGUACAUCGUUUGACAUGUUUCUACUGACUGUUACGGAACUUUUGGACAUUUUGUUACGUUAUAGUGGACGCGCUUUGUGACUUUGGAUUUUUUUAUCAAAAUAGCUAAUUGGACAUAAAUAACGGACAGUUUCAAACAAAUCAAGCAUUUAUUGUGCACCUGGGAUUCCUAGGACUGCAUUCUGAUAAAGUUCAUCAAAGGUAAGGAAACAUUUAUCAUGUAUUUUCUGGUUUCUGUUGACUCCAAUAUGGCGGCUAAUUUGGCUACUGUUCUGAGCUCUGUCUCAGAUUAUUGCAUGGGUUGCUUUUACCGUAAACUUUUUUUUAAAUCUGACACAGCGGUUGCAUUAAGGAGAGGUAUAUCUAUAAUUCCAUGUGUAUAACUUAUAUUAUCAUCUACAUGUAGGAUGAGUAUUUCUGUUGAAACGACUUGAUGUUUUUGGAACUAGUGAAUCUAAUACGCCAAUGUAAACUCAAAUUUUUUAGGUAAAUAUGAACUUUAUCAAACAAAACAUGCAUGUAUUGUGUAACAUGAAGUCCGAUGGGUGUCAUCUGAUGAAGAUAAUUCAAGUUGUCAUAUCGAUCCCGUUAGUGGGAAUGCAGCCAUAACAAGAUAACCACCCCCAGACACAUCUGGCUAACUUGACAGGUAAUGUAAUCAUUUGGUGAAGUGCAGUCUUUUGUUUAAACACGUAGCUAGCUAAACAAUUAACCUAACGGUGCAUUCAAAACAACUGGAAAUAUGGAAAAACACCAUAGAAAAUACCCAACCGAUGUUCAUAGCUAGCCACCAUGCCUGAAUCAGGUAGCUAAAGCUAACCAAAUAGGUUCAAUGUUAGCUUGCUAGCUAACAUUACGCUAUAACUAGCAAUACAAAUGGCUUUCUGAGUUACAAAUAAUAUUACUAAACAGAUCAUACACGUCACGUUAGCUAGCGACCCAGUCAGCUAACAGUACGCUUUAACUUGCAAUGAAAACAACUUUCUGACUAAAUUAGAAAUGUAUAAUAUCUGAAAAUGUAGCUAGCUAGACUCUUAUCCGAAUACAUGGAUGAACGCUUCUCCCUCUCUGUCACAGAUGCCAUGGUUGCCAUUAGUUUGAAGAUGUAAUCUGGAAACAGAUGUUUUAUACAAUAACCUUCUGUGUUCUCUUUUCAACUCCCUCUGCCAAUUUGCAAUCAAACGCCAGAAUUUUCUCCAUCUCCUUAGCUAUUGUGAUGGAAAAUGUUAUGUUUGUGCUUUUCUAAUAACCAUUUCUGUGUUCAAUGUUUGUGCUGUUCUGCUGUUCUAAUAACCAAUUUCUGUGUUCAUGCAAGUAACUGAUUGAAUGUGCCUGGGAGGAAUCCUCACUAUCAGUAUCGGCAAUUUGGCAGUAUGCCCAGAACCUUGUUUGGAGAACGAAAGGGAUAUCUCAGUUUCAAGGUCUCAGCUUGGAGACAAGAAGCCUUGUGAGGUGUUGGUCAUUUACAUGCAUGAACCAAACGUUAAUGAUUAAUUAAUUAUGAAUGAUGAAUAAACUAAAUCAUGCAAAUAUAACUUGUCUGUGUAAGCAGUAUAUAAGAGAACUAACAGGACUGCCCCGGAGGAGCUCACUUCAGAAUGGUACUUUAUGCAUCCAAGUUUGACUGUGACCUCUCCAGUUUGCUGU
ensembl:lncRNA